GGGCGGUUAGCUCAGCGGUAGAGCAUUGCAUUCACAUUGCAGGGGUCACAGGUUCAAAUCCUGUACCGCCCACCA
rnacentral:tRNA from 1 species